AGGGUGUAAACGCUGCAGACUUGGUGUUGGAAGUCCUUUGGGGGCAUUCAGCGCCGGAGAGAAGUUGUUAAGUCUGCUACUUGGGGAGUACGUCCGCAAGGAUGAAACUUAAAGGAAUUGGCGGGGGAGGCACCGCAACGGGAGGAGCGUGCGGUUUAAUUGGAUUCAACACCGUAAACUCACCAGGGAAGACUGUUACAUGAGAGCCGAGAUGAAGACUCUGCUAGAUUUUCAGAGAGGAGGUGCAUGGCCGUCAGUGACU
rnacentral:rRNA from 1 species